CAACGCGACCCCAGGUCAGGCGGGGCUACCCGCUGAGUUUAAGCAUA
rnacentral:rRNA from 1 species